UCCACGCCGUAAACGAUGAAGACUAGCUGUCCGGGCACAUGGUGCCUGGGUGGCGCAGCUAACGCAUUAAGUCUUCCGCCUGGGGAGUACGGCCGCAAGGUUAAAACUCAAAGAAAUUGACGGGGGCCUGCACAAGCGGUGGAGCAUGUGGUUCAAUUCGAAGCAACGCGCAGAACCUCACCAGCGUUUGACAUGGUAGGACGACUGGCAGAGAUGCCUUUCUUCCCUUCGGGGACCUACACACAGGUGCUGCAUGGCUGUCGUCAGCUCGUGUCGUGAGAUGUUGGGUUAAGUCCCGCAACGAGCGCAACCCUCGCCUUUAGUUACCAUCAUUCAGUUGGGGACUCUAAAGGAACCGCCGGUGAUAAGCCGGAGGAAGGUGGGGAUGACGUCAAGUCCUCAUGGCCCUUACGCGCUGGGCUACACACGUGCUACAAUGGCGACUACAGUGGGCUGCGAACUCGCGAGGGUGAGCUAAUCUCCAAAAGUCGUCUCAGUUCGGAUUGUUCUCUGCAACUCGAGAGCAUGAAGGCGGAAUCGCUAGUAAUCGCGGAUCAGCAUGCCGCGGUGAAUACGUUCCCAGGCCUUGUACACACCGCCCGUCACACCAUGGGAGUUGGAUUCACCCGAAGGCGUUGCGCCAACCGCAAGGAGGCAG
rnacentral:rRNA from 1 species